rnacentral:rRNA from 1 species
CAGUAGCCGCGGUAAUACGGAGGGGGCUAGCGUUGUUCGGAAUUACUGGGCGUAAAGCGCACGUAGGCGGCUUGGUAAGUUAGAGGUGAAAGCCCGGAGCUCAACUCCGGAAUUGCCUUUAAGACUGCCGAGCUAGCAGGUGAGAGAGGUAAGUGGAAUUCCGAGUGUAGAGGUGAAAUUCGUAGAUAUUCGGAAGAACACCAGUGGCGAAGGCGGCUUACUGGCUCAUACUGGACGCUGAGGUGCGAAAGCGUGGGGAGCAAACAGGAUUAGAGACCCCCGUAGUCCCUGUCUCUUAUAC